GCUGGACAUGGUGGCGCAAGCCUUUAAUCCCAGCUACUCAGCAGGCUGAGACGGGAAGAUGGCUUGAGUUCAUGAGUUCUGGGCUGUAGUGUGCUAUGCCAAUCAGUGUUCGCACUAAGUUUCACAUCAAAUGGUGACCUCCCAGGAGCAGGGGACCAUCAGGUUGCUUAAAGAAGGGGUGAAAAUGCCCAGGUUGGAAACAAAGCAGGUCAAAACUCCCAUGCUGAUCAGAAGUGGGAUCGCGCCUGUGAAUAGCCACUGCACUCCAGCCUGGGCAAUGUAGCGAGACCCCAUCUCU
rnacentral:SRP_RNA from 1 species